GGGCGAUUAGCUCAGGUGGUAGAGCAGCUGACUCUUAAUCAGCGGGUCGAAGGUUCGAGUCCUUCAUCGCCCACCA
rnacentral:tRNA from 4 species